rnacentral:misc_RNA from 1 species
UCGUAACAAAAGAGGUGCGAGGGCUGUCGCUGACCCCCAAAGGGGGGUCGUGCACGCCCUCGCGCUUCCACACAGUCCACCUCUCACCCCUUUGUGCAUCACCGCGUGGGUUCCUCCUUUUGCGGGAAGGGCCUGCGUUUUUAUCAUAAAACUUGAUACAGUGUAGAAUGUUUUAUCUUUGCGGUUGUACGCAAUCAAUA